UACGGAGGGAGCUAGCGUUGUUCGGAAUUACUGGGCGUAAAGCGCACGUAGGCGGCUUUGUAAGUUAGGGGUGAAAGCCCGGAGCUCAACUCCGGAAUUGCCUUUAAGACUGCAUCGCUUGAAUCCGGGAGAGGUGAGUGGAAUUCCGAGUGUAGAGGUGAAAUUCGUAGAUAUUCGGAAGAACACCAGUGGCGAAGGCGGCUCACUGGACCGGUAUUGACGCUGAGGUGCGAAAGCGUGGGGAGCAAACAGGAUUGAGAA
rnacentral:rRNA from 1 species